UAAUACGUAGGCAGCAAGCGUUGUUCGGAAUUACUGGGCGUAAAGAGUGCGUAGGCGGUUUGCCAAGUCCGAUGUGAAAUCUCCCGGCUUAACUGGGAGGGUGCGUUAGAAACUGGCAGGCUUGAGUAUGGGAGAGGAAAGCGGAAUUCCUGGUGUAGCGGUGAAAUGCGUAGAUAUCAGGAGGAACGCCUGUGGUGUAGACGGCUUUCUGGACCAUAACUGACGCUGAGGCACGAAAGCGUGGGUAGCAAACAGGAUUAGAUACCCUGGUAGUCCACGCCCUAAACGAUGCACACUUGGUGUGGGCAGUUCAGUCUGUCCGUGCCGGAGCUAACGCGUUAAGUGUGCCGCCUGGGGAGUACGGUCGCAAGGCUG
rnacentral:rRNA from 1 species